CGAGUCUCCAAUGCUCCGGCGGAGCUCCCCGAGAACCUGCCAUCCCUCUAAAGGGAGUCUGAAGGACACCAUUGUGUUCAAGAAGUUACUGGGUUCAAUCUAAAGGGCCGAGAAAGUGAGCGACGAGUCUCCAGGUUCAUGGGAAGAUCUUCUCCGUGUGCUGCACUGCUUCUCCAUGAGCGCAUCUUGAUGCUCCGUGUGAUUGGAGGGUCGCAGCUGAAGGCGUGUUUCAUCCCCACUGUAGCUCUGCUCAAACAUUCACUACCAAAGCACUGAGUGUGGGAAAUGUCAUGUAGCCAGGGUGGGAAUGCAAUUAAAGUGAUUUAUGUUGUUUUCUGA